UACGUAGGAUGCAAGCGUUGUCCGGAAUUAUUGGGCGUAAAGAGCGCGCAGGCGGUAACUCAAGUCAGAUGUGAAAUAUCCGGGCUUAACCCGGAGGGGUCAUUUGAAACUGAGUAACUAGAGUACAGCAGAGGAUAGCGGAAUUCCCGGUGUAGUGGUGAAAUGCGUAGAUAUCGGGAGGAACACCAGUGGCGAAGGCGGCUAUCUGGGCCGUAACUGACGCUGAGGAGCGAAAGCAUGGGGAGCGAACAGG
rnacentral:rRNA from 1 species